rnacentral:misc_RNA from 1 species
AAAACUUUACUUUAUAAAACCUUAUUUUACUCUACCUCCUCCCAAACGGCUUAUAGCCUUAGUAAACUGACCUCAGGAAAACAGGUUGGAAAUUUGGAUGAGAUGAAGAUGGAUGGUCUGAUUUGGAGUCUGCAAUUGAACCAGAAAAGCAAAUGCUAAUCAGUUGUUUAUUUGCAUUCUUUUCCAUUCCUUUCUCAUUUCAUCAUAUUGAUAUCAGAAAGUUAUGAUGACAUGCAGCUCCAGCACGCCUUCCAUCAUU